rnacentral:rRNA from 1 species
GUGCCAGCCGCCGCGGUAAUACGUAGGGGGCGAGCGUUGUCCGGAAUUAUUGGGCGUAAAGAGCGUGUAGGCUGUUCGGUAAGUCUGCCGUGAAAACCUGAGGCUCAACCUCGGGCGUGCGGUGGAUACUGCCGGGCUAGAGGACGGUAGAGGCGAGUGGAAUUCCCGGUGUAGCGGUGAAAUGCGCAGAUAUCGGGAGGAACACCAGUAGCGAAGGCGGCUCGCUGGGCCGUUCCUGACGCUGAGACGCGAAAGCUAGGGGAGCGAACAGGAUUAGAUACCCCGGUAGUCC